rnacentral:rRNA from 1 species
UACGGGGGGGGCAAGCGUUGUUCGGAAUUACUGGGCGUAAAGGGGACGUAGGCGGCCAACUAAGUCCGACGUGAAAUCCCAAGGCUUAACCUUGGAACUGCGUCGGAUACUGGAUGGCUUGAAUUCGGGAGAGGGAUGCAGAAUUCCAGGUGUAGCGGUGAAAUGCGUAGAUAUCUGGAGGAACACCGGUGGCGAAGGCGGCAUCCUGGACCGGCAUUGACGCUGAGGAGCGAAAGCCAGGGGAGCAAACGGG